UGGGGAAUAUUGCACAAUGGGCGAAAGCCUGAUGCAGCGACGCCGCGUGAGGGAUGACGGCCUUCGGGUUGUAAACCUCUUUCAGCAGGGAAGAAGCGAAAGUGACGGUACCUGCAGAAGAAGCGCCGGCUAACUACGUGCCAGCAGCCGCGGUAAUACGUAGGGCGCAAGCGUUGUCCGGAAUUAUUGGGCGUAAAGAGCUCGUAGGCGGUUAGUCGCGUCUGCUGUGAAAACUCGAGGCUCAACCCCGGGCUUGCAGUGGGUACGGGCUGACUAGAGUGCGGUAGGGGUGACUGGAAUUCCUGGUGUAGCGGUGGAAUGCGCAGAUAUCAGGAGGAACACCGAUGGCGAAGGCAGGUCACUGGGCCGCAACUGACGCUGAGGAGCGAAAGCAUGGGGAGCGAACAGGAUUAGAUACCCUGGUAGUCCAUGCCGUAAACGUUGGGCACUAGGUGUGGGUCCAUUCCACGGAUUCCGUGCCGCAGCAAAGCGCAUUAAGUGCCCCGCCUGGGGAGUACGGCCGCAAGGCUAAAACUUAAAGGAAUUGACGGGGUCAUAGCUGUUUCCU
rnacentral:rRNA from 1 species